GAUGAACGCUGGCGGCGUGCUUAAUACAUGCAAGUCGAACGGAGAGCUUCUGUAGCAAUACGGAGGCUUCUUAGUGGCGAACGGGUGCGUAACGCGUUGGUGACCUGCCCCAAAGUGUGGGAUAACAGUUCGAAAGGAUUGCUAAUACCGCAUGUGGUCAUCGGGUUUAGAAGCCGGUGACAAAAGCAGUAAUGCGCUGUGGGAGGGACCUGCGUCCCAUCAGCUAGUUGGUGAGGUAAUGGCCCACCAAGGCUACGACGGGUAGGGGACCUGAGAGGGUAGUCCCCCACACUGGCACUGAAACACGGGCCAGACACCUACGGGUGGCAGCAGUAGGGAAUAUUGGGCAAUGGGCGAAAGCCUGACCCAGCAACGCCGCGUGCACGAUGAAGGUCUUCGGAUCGUAAAGUGCUUUUCUGAGAGAUGAGAAAGGACAGUAUCUCAGGAAUAAGCCUCGACUAACUACGUGCCAGCAGCCGCGGUAAGAC
rnacentral:rRNA from 1 species